rnacentral:rRNA from 1 species
UUCUAUUAAAAUAAUUAUUAAUAGUAUGGUCUGCUCAAUGAACAUAAAUAGCCGCAAAUAAUGUGCUAAGGUAGCAUAAUCAUUCGCUUUUUAAUUGAAAGCUAGAACAAAAGAUCAAACAUUUUAAUUUAUUUUUUAAAAAUAAAUAUUAAAUUUUUUCUAAAUGUAAAAAAACAUUUAUACAAAAGAAAGACGACAAGACCCUAUUGAACUUAACUAAAGUUAAACUGGGGAAGUUAAUUAAUUAAAAUUUUAAUUUUAAAAUUAAAAAGAACUAAUAAAAUUAAUUUAUAAUCAAGUUACCAUAGGGAUAACAGCGUAAUUAUUAUUUAAAGAUCUUAUUUAAAUAAAAGUUUGCGACCUCGAUGUUGAAUAAUUAACUAUAUUAUGCAAUAAUAAUAAUAGUAAGUCUGUUCGACUUUUUAAAAAUUACA